GGAGAGUUGGCUGAGCGGUCGAAAGCGGCGGUCUUGAAAACCGUUAAGGUGAAAGCCUUCUGGGGUUCGAAUCCCUAACUCUCCGCCA
rnacentral:tRNA from 1 species